rnacentral:tRNA from 1 species
GCCCCAGUAGCUCAAUUGGAUAGAGUGGCGGACUUCUAAUCCGCAGGUUGCAGGUUCAAGUCCUGUCUGGGGUA